rnacentral:rRNA from 1 species
CGAACGGUAACAUUUCUAGCUUGCUAGAAGAUGACGAGUGGCGGACGGGUGAGUAAUGCUUGGGAACUUGCCUUUGCGAGGGGGAUAACAGUUGGAAACGACUGCUAAUACCGCAUAAUGUCUACGGACCAAACGGGGCUUCGGCUCCGGCGCAAAGAGAGGCCCAAGUGAGAUUAGCUAGUUGGUAAGGUAACGGCUUACCAAGGCGACGAUCUCUAGCUGUUCUGAGAGGAAGAUCAGCCACACUGGGACUGAGACACGGCCCAGACUCCUACGGGAGGCAGCAGUGGGGAAUAUUGCACAAUGGGGGAAACCCUGAUGCAGCCAUGCCGCGUGUGUGAAGAAGGCCUUCGGGUUGUAAAGCACUUUCAGUUGUGAGGAAAAGUUAGUAGUUAAUACCUGCUAGCCGUGACGUUAACAACAGAAGAAGCACCGGCUAACUCCGUGCCAGCAGCCGCGGUAAUACGGAGGGUGCGAGCGUUAAUCGGAAUUACUGGGCGUAAAGCGCACGCAGGCGGUUUGUUAAG